AGUAGUUCAGCAGGCGGAAGCAGAACAAGGCCCUCUGAUGCAGGAUGAACCUGUUUCAGCCUGAUUCAGUGCCGGUAGUGGAAAUGGAACCUGGGAGGGAACGGCGAAUGACAGUACACAAUGGGAGGCGGCCUUGUAACGGAGUUGUCUUAAAGGGCAAACGUCUUCAGAGGACCCGAGAGUGCCAGUGGUGCUGAGGUCGACGAAUUAAUGUCAUUUUCACAUGUUAUUUCUAUUGCAAAGCUUCCUGCCGAAAUGGACACCUAGCCUCCGUGACAAGCAGCAACAACCAUUGGCAAAUGAUGAGGUUAAUGGACCGGAAUGGUGGCACACUCGCACAUGGAUUGAAGGACGGAGAUACCUUAAUACGAGGCGUUUCAUAUGGUUAGAUGGAGCGCUAUGGAGGAAUGCUGACUGGUUGCCUGGAGAGCCCAAUAUAAUACUGCUGGGAUAAAGAAUAGUGUAGUCUUGCUCACUCAUCACACUAAUUAUCCUAAAGCAUGAUAUAUAUAUAACUCAUAGCCCCUUCACAUAAACCUUUCUCAGUAUUAUUACACCAAUAUCACUGCACAUCACUCAAUCUCUGAUCUCAUCCGAUUUGAGAUGUUUGACUCCGUUUGUUAAAUGUCUGUCCAACUUUCACUUUAGCACUGCUUUGUGUAUUUACAGGUAAUGGGAAGUUCAAUAAUGUGCCAUGCCACAACCUCCGAGCAUUCAUCUGUUCCUGUCCAAUUUAUAGAUGGGUGGAAUGGUAACCUACACUUUAAAAAGUGGUAACCUGGUUACCAUACUGAGCUAUUUCUACUUGAUAACGCUUGAUUUAGUGAUCUUAAAGCAUAUUUUUGACUUGAGUAAAACAAGUUAAUUUAGAAGUUAUCACAUGAAGCAUAUUUUUUAGCUAAACAGUUUUGUUUAUGAAGAAGGUGGAUUUGUUACUAUUAUUUUGAAUACAUUUAUAAGUGUAAUUCAGUAGUCAAACUGUUUUAUUAAAUUUGCCUUGUGUUGGGGGGCCUGGGUAAUACUCAGCGAGUAUUGACGCCGACUACCACCCCUGGAGUUGCAAGUUCGAAUCCAGGGCAUGCUGAGUGACUCCAGCCAGGUCUCCUAAGCAACCAAAUUGGCCCGGUUGCUAGAGAGGGUAGAGUCACAUGGGGUAACCUCCUCGUUGUCGCUAUAAUGUGUGGUUCUUGCUCUCAAUGAGGCAUGGAUGCCACGGAGAAUAGCGUGGGCCUCCACACACGCUACUUCUCCGUGGUAACGCGCUCAACAAGCCACAUAAUAAGAUGCGCGGAUUGACUGUCUCAGAUGUGGAGGCAACUAAGAUUCGUCCUCUGCCACCCGGAUUGAGGCGAGUCACUACGCCACCACGAGGAUUUAGAGCUUACUGGGAAUUGGGCAUUCCAAACUGGGGAGAAAAGGGGAGAGCAAAAUAAAAAAUAAAAAAAUGUUGACUUGUGUUUUCAAACAAAUUAAAUGCCAUAGAUUCAGCUGAUUACUGA